rnacentral:lncRNA from 1 species
UGUGUGUGUGUGUGUGUGUGUGUGUGUGUGUGUUCGCAAUAUGGCGUCUUUUUCUCUGUUUUCAAAUCCUUGCUGCUCUUUGCUCAGGUCCUGUGGAGUGCCACUGUCAACUAAAAUGAUUGCCAAAAGUAGUUUUUCUUCAGUUUACUUCUUCAUCCGUCUUCUCCUUGGCAGCAUGAGCCAGUAAUGUUGCUAAACGUAGUCAGGAUUCCGGGCAACUCUCUCAUGACGAAGGAAAUUUGUCUUAAAUUCUUAAUUUCUGAGAUAUGGUAGCUCAAACAUCGCUUACCGCGACUGUUUACACGAGGUCCUGUUCUCCAGGAAGAUCUGUCAGAGUCUUUUAAACUGUAGAUUCUUACUAUCAAGUUUGUAUACAACAAAUUGAGCCUGAUUAUUGUGUCAUAAACUGUGUAUAAGUGUAGAAAACAGAAGCUUUUUACCAGUAACUGUCCAUUCUGUGUAACUAUGAAGUAGGCGGUGCUUAAUUUGAGCCACACCUUUUAUUACAGCCACACCUUCGAUUUCUGCAAUAAAGCAAUGCAAGGCUGAGCAAGCUAACAUGUACAGUAACAUAUCCCAGAAAUCACGUGACUGUAGAACCCUGAAUUGUAAUAAAUGUAAUGUGUGCCUAGACUUAAUUAUUGGUUGUAUGUCUUGUCUGUAGUAGAUCCCUUCUUAA